GCUGUGGUAGCUCAGUGGAUUGAGCGUUGUCCUGUGAACCAAGAGGUCCUGGGUUCGAUUCCCAGUCAGGGCA
rfam:Myotis davidii contig77468, whole genome shotgun sequence.